UUUUGUAAGGAAGGAACAUUCCUUAUCGGGUUGCAUAUUGUAUUGUCUCAAAAGAGUCCUUCGAUAUCAGAGCCCACAAUUCUCAGAAAUAAAAGCGUCGGCGGCUCGCGCACAUCGUCUCUCGGCCACUCCUGUCACAACUUCCACCGAUCCCGAGACGGUGACUCUCCGCCUGGAUUUUUGCCGUAUCCUCGCGUCACCCAUCUCGGCUUCCUAUCUCAAAAACUGAUGUUUUGGAUCUUAUUUUUUAACGCAUCCCGGUUGUCCGAGUGGUGGGGACGGGAGAAAGCCUCUUUUACCUGGAAUAAGAAGUUGCUACAUACUUACAUAGGACAAGGAGAAUCCUUGAAUUUAUUUUUAAUCAUUCCCUAAGGAAGAAAAAGAUACUCAAGAACAAGAUUUAAGAGAAAAAAAAUAUGAAAAAUGGAAUCAUUUAAAUAUGAGAUCUGGAAACAAACGAAAAAUUGGACUCUAAUAUGUAUGUAAGACUGUCUAUAUAUUUGGAAAUAGCAUGAUUAGUGAUGUAGUUUAAGAAUUAUUUCCAUAAUAAAACUAUUGAAAUGUAA